rnacentral:rRNA from 1 species
GACGAACGCUGGCGGCGUGCUUAACACAUGCAAGUCGAACGGAAAGGCCCUGCUUGCAGGGUACUCGAGUGGCGAACGGGUGAGUAACACGUGGGUGAUCUGCCCUGCACUUCGGGAUAAGCCUGGGAAACUGGGUCUAAUACCGGAUAUGACCUUCCAUGUAGUGUGGGGGGUGGAAAGAUUUAUCGGUGUGGGAUGAGCCCGCGGCCUAUCAGCUUGUUGGUGGGGUAAUGGCCUACCAAGGCGUCGACGGGUAGCCGGCCUGAGAGGGUGGACGGCCACAUUGGGACUGAGAUACGGCCCAGACUCCUACGGGAGGCAGCAGUGGGGAAUAUUGCACAAUGGGCGGAAGCCUUAUGCAGCGACGCCGCGUGGGGGAUGACGGCCUUCGGGUUGUAAACCCCUUUCGACAGGGACGAAGCUUCGGUGACGGUACCUGUAUAAGAAGCACCGGCUAACUACGUG